AACAUGUCCAUUCGUGGGGGAUAGCCCGGCGAAAGCCGGAUUAAUACCGCAUACGCCCGAGAGGGGAAAGCCGGGGACCGCAAGGCCUGGCGCGAAUGGGUUGGCCGAUGCCCGAUUAGCUAGUUGGUGAGGUAAUGGCUCACCAAGGCGAUGAUCGGUAGCUGGUCUGAGAGGAUGAUCAGCCACACUGGGACUGAGACACGGCCCAGACUCCUACGGGAGGCAGCAGUGGGGAAUUUUGGACAAUGGGGGCAACCCUGAUCCAGCCAUUCCGCGUGAGU
rnacentral:rRNA from 1 species